rnacentral:rRNA from 1 species
UGGGGAAUUUUGCGCAAUGGGGGAAACCCUGACGCAGCAACGCCGCGUGGAGGAUGAAAUAUCUUGGUAUGUAAACUCCUUUCGAUGGGGACGAUAAUGACGGUACCCAUAGAAGAAGCCCCGGCUAACUUCGUGCCAGCAGCCGCGGUAAUACGAGGGGGGCAAGCGUUGUUCGGAAUUAUUGGGCGUAAAGGGUGCGUAGGCGGUUUCGCAAGUCUUGUGUGAAAUCUUCGGGCUCAACCCGAAGUCUGCACAGGAAACUGCGAGGCUUGAGGAUGGGAGAGGUGAGUGGAAUUUCCGGUGUAGCGGUGAAAUGCGUAGAUAUCGGAAGGAACACCUGUGGCGAAAGCGGCUCACUGGACCAUUUCUGACGCUGAUGCACGAAAGCUAGGGGAGCAAACAG